rnacentral:rRNA from 1 species
UCAGGACGAACGCUGGCGGCGUGCCUAAUACAUGCAAGUCGAACGGUCUUUCUAUGGAAGCUUGCUUCCACUGAGAAGAUAGUGGCGAACGGGUGAGUAACAACGUGGGUAACCUGCCCAUAAGAGGGGGAUAACAUCCGGAAACGGGUGCUAAUACCGCAUAGUUUUCUUGAUCGCAUGAUCGGGAAAGGAAAGACGGCCUUUGUGCUGUCGCUUAUGGAUGGACCCGCGGCGUAUUAGUUAGUUGGUGAGGUAACGGCUCACCAAGACGAUGAUACGUAGCCGACCUGAGAGGGUGAUCGGCCACAUUGGGACUGAGACACGGCCCAAACUCCUACGGGAGGCAGCAGUAGGGAAUCUUCCGCAAUGGACGAAAGUCUGACGGAGCAACGCCGCGUGAGUGAAGAAAGGUUUUCGGAUCGUAAAACUCUGUUGUCAGAGAAGAACAAGUUGGAGAGUAACUGCUCCAGCCUUGACGGUAUCUGACCAGAAAGCCACGGCUAACUACGUGCCAGCCGCCGC